AAAAAAUGGCUAGUUUUCGUGUUCACGUGUUUGCCUUGGCUUUGCUUGCGAGCUUUUUUAACUCGGUGCACUGUUUACCUCCCCCUGAUAUACCAGCAUUGUUUGUGCUCGGAGACUCGUUGUAUGAUGCUGGCAACAAUAACUACAUUACCACUACCAAUGAUUUCAAGGCUAAUUUUCGACCAUAUGGCGAAACAUAUUUCCCUGUCCGCCCUACUGGCAGGUUUGGAGAUGGUCGCCUCAUUCCUGAUUAUAUUGCCAACUUUGCAAGGAAGCCAUUCGUGCAGCCAUAUCUCGCAAUCAGGAAUCGACCGUUAGGUCGAUUUAUCAAUGGCAUCAACUUUGCAUCAGCUGGUGCCGGUAGUCUUGAUGGAACCAAUGCAGGCCUGGUAAUUUCUUUUAAAGCACAGCUGAGAGAUUUCAAGAAAGUCUCACAACAACUGAAGCAGCAGGUGGGGAGUGUCAGAUCAAAACGACUGAUCUCUAAUGCUGUCUACAUGUUUAGCAUUGGCAGUAAUGACUAUAGCGCUUUCAUAACCAACUCCACCCUUCUAAAUUCAUAUACCCCCAACCAAUACGUAGAUAUGGUGGUUGGUAACAUGUCAACUGUUUUCCAGGAAAUAUACAAGGAAGGAGGAAGGAAAUUCGUUAUUCUCUCGGUGGGUACUAUAGGAUGUGUACCAUCUGCUAGGGCUGUUAGUAGUGGUGAAUGUGUGGAGGUUCUCCAAACCUUGGCCAAAUUGCAUAAUGAGGCUCUACAAAAAAUGCUCAACAAUUUAGUCAGGAAUUUACCAGGAUUCAAGUAUUCCUACUUUGAUUAUUUCCAAUCUUCCACAGAUACAAUUAGUAAUCCAUCUAAAUAUGGUUUCACGGAGGUGAAAGUUGCAUGUUGUGGCAGUGGUCCAUUUAGAGGAGAUCCAAGUUGUGGAGGAAAAAGAGGAAUGACAUCUUUUGAGUUAUGCCCAGAUGUCCAAAACUAUUUGUUUUUCGACUUCACUCAUCCCACUGAGAAGGCCAACCUUCUUUCUGCUACACAAAUGUGGGAGACAAGCCCCUAUGUUAAACCUAACAAUGUCAAGUCCUUUUUUCAAUCCUAGUAAUCAAAUAAAUAUGCCACUAGAAUCGCUAGUUAAUUAGUGGUUCGUUCAGUACUUUGAGUGGUUAAUUAUGAUAAUAAAUAAAGAGGUUGAAUAAUAUGUACACCUACUACGUUAUAUAAAGUGUGAUCCUACUUGUGCUUAUUAUAAUUGUUGAAUAAUAUGUACACCUACUACGUUAUAUAAAGUGUGAUCCUAGUUGUGCUUA